rnacentral:lncRNA from 1 species
UCUCUCCCACGUUCACAAAAGGUCUCCUCUCUUCUUUCUUACAUGGAAGGUGGUUUGGAUCAAAUCUAAAAGGAAUAAGUUUGGAUUUCGAAUUCUAUGAGAUAGAGUUUUAGAAAUCCAAAACUCUUUCAAUUUUGCACCGAAUUUAUCCAAAUUUUUUUUGAAAAUUUUCAUGGCUUUUAGGGUCUAUAUUGUGCACCCUUUUUUGGUGAUCCAUGCACGAAAAUAUGAAGGAGGUGCUCAAGAGUUGGGCGUCCCUUAACUUGCCAUGUUUGGAUAAGCCUUGACUAGGUGUUUGACCUAGACAAGGACUCUAUCAUAUCUCUCUAUAUAAGAUAAGUUUCUUCAUAAAAUUUUAGGAGAAAUUAGAAAUUUGAGAGACCUUUGUAUCAUCCAAAAAAUCAAAGAGAAAUACCUUUGGAUCGUGGAGAUAUAAAAGAUGCAAGUUUGGGUGUCUAGAGAAAAAAAUGUGAAGAAGAAGAGGGUCUUCUUCUAGGGUUUUUAUUUUCAUAUCUUUCCUCCCUCCAUCUUGAGUUUCCUGAGAGUGUCUCAGAUCUGAAACUCCUCCUUUUACUUUCCAUCUUUG